AGUGCAAAGACGCCGGUUGGGGAAUGACUCGGCUUGGUAAGUGAUGAAGGACGUGGCAAGCUGCGAUAAGCCCGGGGUAGGUGCAAGCGACCGUUGAUCCUGGGAUUUCCGAAUGAGGUCUCUCUUUACACUCCCUUGCUUUUCGCUUGGGAGGGCGAACUGUCCGAAGUGAAGCAUCUGAGUAGGAUGAGGAAGAGAAAUCAACACGAGAUUCCGCUAGUAGCGGCGAGCGAAAACGGAAGAGCCCAAACUGAAUCUGUCACGGUAACGUGAUAGAGAUGUGGUGUGCUAUGGCGUACAGGAUGCCGUUCUCCGAGCUGAAGUGCUCUGGAACGUGCUGGCGAAGAGGGUGAUACCCCCGUAAGCGUAAGGGAAUGGGAUUCUGCUAUAGCAAGAGUAUCUGGCCUUGGCAGUGGCCAGUGACUAUGGGUGAAAGUAGCAUCCAAGGCUAAAUAUUCACCAAGACCGAUAGCAUACUAGUACUGUGAAGGAAAGUUGAAAAGUACCCCGGAAGGGGGAUGAAAAGUGUCUGAAACCAACCGGUUACAGACGUGUACGGCUUGAAAGGAGUUUGGUAGAGGUCCCGCAAGGGAUUGAAGCCUUCCAGAGUCGUACGUUCCGUCUAGAAACACGGGCCAGGGAGAUUGCUGUCAUGGCGAGCCUAACCUGACGAAGGGGAGGCGAAGGGAAACCGAAUUCGCGCAGCUUCGGCGAGGCGAAGGAUCCGAAAGGGUCUUCAGUCAUGGCAGUAAGGCUAGAAACCGGACGAUCUAGUCCUGGAUAAGACGAAGGCGGGCUAACGCCCGCUGGAGGUCUGCAAGGGUCCUGACGUGCAAAUCGGUCCCCAGAUCUGGGAUUAGGGGUCAAAAACCAAUCUAGUCCGGUGAUCGCUAGUUCCCACCGAAGUGGAUCGCAGUCCUGCCUCAGUGGAGACUGCUUGUAUUGUAGAGCACCGAUCGGACGGUAAGGGCUCGAAAGGGCUCGCCGCCCAUUCGAACUCCGAAUGUACAGGCGUCGUAGAAGCUGGGAGGCGGGUUUAUGUGGGGUAAGCCUCAUAACCGAAAGGGGGACAACCCAGACUAAAGUUAAGGUCCCUAAGUGUCUGCUAAGUGUCAAACAAAAAGGCGUUUUCGAGCGAAGACAGCAGGGAGGUAGGCUCAGAAGCAGCCAUCCUUCAAAGAGUGCGUAACAGCUCACCUGCCGAGCUCGGAAGCCCUGAAAAUGGACGGGGCUCAAGUAGGCCACCGAUACUUUAGACCACCGGUAAUGCCGGUGCGUGGUAGGUGGGCGUAGUGUUUGGGUCGAAGCUGGGCUGUGAAGUCCAGUGGACCGAACGAACUAUUGCAGAUCCUGGUGGCAGUAACAGCAUAGCCGGGUGAGAAUCUCGGCGACCGCAAGGGCAAGGGUUUCCCGGCAAUGCGUCAUCAGCCGGGAGUUAGCCGGUCCUAAGAGCAGCCUCAACAGAGCUGUCCGAAUGGGAAACUUGUUAAUAUUCAAGUGCCUUGAAGGGAUCGUUUUUACCUGCCUUGUUGCUUCAGGAUAGGGCAAGCAGAACCGUCGUUCUGCCCAAGUUUUCGAGCGUGGGGGAGUGCUGUAAUGGCGAGAUCUCAUGCGAGGGGCGAGUGGCCUGCCGCAAGGCGGGUUUGCCCAAGUCCAGGAGACACUGAAAGCAAGGUUAGGGAGAUCUCUUCAGGACCGUACCGAGAACCGACACUGGUGCCCUGGUUUAGUAGACUAAGGUCUGUCGGGCAUACCGUAAGGCGAGGGAACUCGGCAAAAUAGCUCCGUACCUAAGGUAUAAGGAGUGCCUGAGGCUUUUGCGAGGAGCAGGGGCCUCAGGUCGCAGUGACAAGGGGGUCCCGACUGUUUAAUAAAAACACAGGUGGCCGCUAGUCCGAAAGGAUGAGUAUGGCCUCUGUAUCCUGGCCAGUGGCGGUACCUAAAACCUGGGUUCAACUGGGCUAAGGGCCGCUAAACGCCGGGAGUAACUCUGACUCUCUUAAGGUAAACUUGGUUUGCCUUAACAAAAUCUGGCUAUAUGCUGGAAAGUCUGUGAAUGUCAGGCUAGCUUGUCCCAGCUUAAAAGGAGCUUUGGAUAAUCUGACAAUGCCAUGACUGCAGAUGAUCAGCAGGAAAGACUAGAUGCGCAGUGGGUCACUGGGUUCGUAGACGGAGAAGGAUGCUUCCAUGUUUCCAUAAAUAAAGUUCGAGAAAUGUCCAUUGGCUGGCAAGUACUUCCUGAAUUUCGCGUGGUUCAACAUGAACGCGAUCAAUCGGUGCUCGAAGAACUACGAAGAUUCUUCAGCGCCGGGAAGGUUGUUGUAAACCACGGUAGUAGGAAGGAACUAAGAAUAAGAAAGCUGAGCGAGCUUAAGGAGAUCGUUUCUUUCUUUAAGCGAUAUCCGCUGAAAACAAAGAAGGAAAAAGACCUAGAAAUAUUUGAGCAGAUCUUGGAACUAAUGGAACAAAGGGAACAUCUAACUGUCGCAGGCCUGACAAAGAUUGCCAAUCUUUGCUGGGCAAUGAACCGAAAAGUGAAACCGCGCUUUCUAGAAUCCUCAGAGACUAUACGCCAGAAAUCGCGCAAGCGAUUAAGAUAUAGUCCGACCCCUGUAGCGAUACAGGGAGGUUUGCAGUAGCAAGCCCGCCUCGGUUUUUAAGAAUCGAGGUCAUACAAAGCAACAGAUGUGAGCCAAAUGCCUUGUCGGGUAAGUUCCGACGUGCAUGAAUGGAACAACGAGGGCCCCGCUGUCCCCGCCUGCAGCCCGGUGAAGCCACAUAAUGUGGACGAACAGUCCACAAACCUCUGUCGGGGAGAGAAGACCCUGUGGAGCUUUACUGCAGCCUGUUGCUGCGGUAUGGUUGCGGAUGCAGAGCGUAGCUGGGAGCCUUCGAAGCCUGCCCUCCGGGGCAGGUGGAGGCGCCGUUGUAACACCAGCCAUUCGUUACCGUAUCGCUAACCCGUUCUCACGGGGACAACGGCAGGUGGGCAGUUCGGCUGGGGCGGCACCCCCUUGAAAAAGUAUCGAGGGGGCCCAAAGAUUGGCUCAGGCGGGACAGAACUCCGCCGGUGAGGGCAAAGCCAAAAGCCAGUCUGACUGUGUUCCCAAUGAUACGGAAUACAGAGGAGAAAUCCGGGCUUAGCGAUCCAUCAUGUCCCCACUAUUGGGGGCUGGUGGUGACAGAAAAGUUACCCUAGGGAUAACAGGCUCGUCGCGGGCGAGAGCUCCCAUCGACCCCGCGGUUUGGUACCUCGAUGUCGGCUCUUCCCAUCCUGGUUCUGCAGCAGGAGCCAAGGGUGGGGCUGCUCGCCCAUUAAAGGGGAACGUGAGCUGGGUUUAGACCGUCGUGAGACAGGUCGGUCUCUGCCUGACAGGGGCGCGGUUGUCUGAGGGGAAGUUGCCCCUAGUACGAGAGGAACAGGGCAGCGCAGCCUCUGGUUUAUCAGCUGUCCGACAGGGCACGCUGAGCAGCUAAGCUGCUUAGGAUAAGUCCUGAAAGCAUCUAAGGACGAAGCCUUUCCCGAGAAAAGACAGCCUUCCGCAAGGAGAAGGGCGGCCAUAGAAGAUGGCGUUGAUGGGAUGGAGGUGUAAGCACCAAGCUUCGGCGAGGUGUUCAGCCUGCCAUUCCCAAUAGCCC
rnacentral:rRNA from 1 species